ensembl:lncRNA
GGGGCAAUGGGGCUAUGGGGCAGCCAUAGGGCACACAUAGGGCAGCCAUAGGGUGGCUAUAGGGCAGCCACAGGGGAACACAUAGGGCAGCCAUAGGGCAGCUAUAGGGUAGCCAUAGGGGAACACAUAGGGCAGCCAUAGGGUACUGCAUGGGGGACCCCAUAGGGCAGCUAUAGGGCAGCAAAUAGGAACCUCCUCACGCGCUGCUGACACCUGUGGGGCAAUGAGGCUAUGGGGCAGCCAUAGGGCACACAUAGGGCACACAUAGGGCACACAUAGGGCAACCCACAGGGGGACCCCAUAGGGCAGCUAUAGGGCAGCCAAUAGGGCACCCCAUAGGGCACAGCAUGGGGGACCCCAUAGGGCAGCCAUAGGGCAGUCAUAGGGCAGCCAUAGGGCACACAUAGGGCACACAUAGGGCAGCCAUAGGGUGGCUAUAGGGCAGCCAAUAGGAACCUCCUCACGUGCUGCUGACACAUGCGGGGCAAUGGGGCUAUGGGGCAGCCGUGGGGCAGCCAUAGGGCACACAUAGGGCACACAUAGGUCACACAUAGGGCAACCCACAGGGGGACCCCAUAGGGCAGCUAUAGGGCAGCCAAUAGGAACCUCCUCACGGGCUGCUGACACCUGUGGGGCAAUGAGGCUAUGGGGCAGCCAUAGGGCACACAUAGGGCAGCCAUAGGGGAACACAUAGGGCAACACAUAGGGCAGCUAUAGGGCAGCCAAUAGGAACCUCCUCACGCGCUGCCGACACCUGCGGGGCAAUGGGGCUAUGGGGCAGCUAUGGGGCAACCCACAGGGGGACCCCAUAGGGUACUGCAUGGGGGACCCCAUAGGGCAGCCAUAGGGGAACACAUAGGGCAGCCAUAGGGCACACAUAGGGGGACACCAUAGGGUACUGCAUGGGGGACCCCAUAGGGCAGCCAUAGGACAGUCAUAGGGCAACACAUAGGGGAACACAUAGGGCAACACAUAGGGCAGCCAUAGGGCAGCCAAUAGGGCACCCCAUAGGGCACAGCAUGGGGGACCCCAUAGGGCAGCCAUAGGGCAGCCAUAGGGGACCACAUAGGGCAGCCAUAGGGCACAGCAUGGGGGACCCCAUAGGGCAGCCAUAGGGCACACAUAGGGCACACAUAGGGCACAGCAUGGGGGACCCCAUAGGGCAGCUAUAGGGCAGCCAAUAGGAACCUCCUCACGCACUGCUGACACCUGCGGGGCAAUGGCAGCUAUGGGGCAGCCAUAGGGCACACAUAGGGCAGCCAUAGGGCAACACAUAGGGCACACAUAGGGGAACCCACAGGGGGACCCCAUAGGUCAGCUAUAGGGCAGCCAAUAGGAACCUCCUCACGCGCUGCCGACACCUGCGGGGCAAUGGGGCUAUGGGGCAGCCAUAGGGCACACAUAGGGCAGCCAUAGGGCAACCCACAGGGGGACCCCAUAGGGUACUGCAUGGGGGACCCCAUAGGGCAGCUAUAGGGCAGCCAAUAGGAACCCCCUCACGGGCUGCUGACACCUGCGGGGCAAUGGGGCUACGGGGCAGCCGUGGGGCAGCCAUGGGGCGCACAUAGGGCAACACAUAGGGCAGCCAUAGGGCAUAGCAUGGGGGACACUAUAGGGCACACAUAGGGCAGCUAUAGGGCUGCCAUAGGGGAACACAUAGGGCUGUCAUAGGGCAGCCAUAGGCAGCCAUAGGGCAGGUAUAGGGCUGCCAUAGGGGAACACAUAGGGCAGCCAUAGGGCAGCUAUAGGGCAGUCAUAGGGCAGCCAUAGGGCAGCCAUAGGGCACCCCAUAGGGCAGCCAUAGGGCAGCUAUAGGGCAGCCAUAGGGCACACAUAGGGCACACAUAGGGCAGCCAUAGGGCAGCUAUAGGGCAGCCAAUAGGAACCUCCUCACGGGCUGCUGAUACCUGUGGGGCAAUGGGGCUAUGGGGCAGCUAUAGGGCACACAUAGGGCACACAUAGGGCAACACAUAGGGCAGCCAUAGGGCAUAGCAUGGGGGACCCCAUAGGGCAGCCAUAGGGCACACAUAGGGCACACAUAGGACAGCCAUAGGGCACACAUAGGGCACACAUAGGGCAGCCAUAGGGCAGCCAAUAGGGUGCCCCAUAGGGCACAGCAUGGGGGACUCCAUAGGGCAGCCAUAGGGCACCCAUAGGGCAGCCAUAGGGCACACAUAGGGCAGCCAAUAGGAACCUCCUCACGCGCUGCAGACACCUGUGGGGCAAUGGGGCUAUGGGGCAGCUAUGGGGCAACCCACAGGGGGACCCCAUAGGGUACUGCAUGGGGGACCCCAUAGGGCAGCCAUAGGGGAACACAUAGGGCAGCCAUAGGGCACACAUUGGGGGACACCAUAGGGUACUGCAUGGGGGACCCCAUAGGGCAGCCAUAGGACAGUCAUAGGGCAACACAUAGGGGAACACAUAGGGCACACAUAGGGUAACACAUAGGGCAGCCAUAGGGAAGGCAAUAGGGCACCCCAUAGGGUACAGCAUGGGGGACUCCAUAGGGCAGCCAUAGGGCACCCAUAGGGCAGCCAUAGGGCAGCUAUAGGGCAGUCAUAGGGCAGCCAUAGGGCAGCCAUAGGGCAGCUAUAGGGCAGCCAAUAGGAACCUCCUCACGCGCUGCUGAUACCUGUGGGGCAAUGGGGCUAUGGGGCAGCUAUAGGGCACACAUAGGGCAACCCACAGGGGGACCCCAUAGGGUACUGCAUGGGGGACACCAUAGGGCCACACAUAAGGGAACACAUAGGGUAACACAUAGGGCGGCUAUAGGGCAGCUAUAGGGGAACACAUAGGACAGCCAUAGGGCACACAUAGGGGGACCCCAUAGGGCAGCCAUAGGGCAGUCAUAGGGCAGACAUCGGGGAACACAUAGGGCAGCCAUAGGGCAGCCAUAGGGGAACACACAGGGCACCCCAUAGGGGGACCCCAUAGGGCACAGCAUGAGGACAUCAUGGGGAUAUAAUAGGGGUAUAAUGGGGUAUAAUGGGG